UACGGAGGGUGCAAGCGUUACUCGGAAUCACUGGGCGUAAAGGACGCGUAGGCUGUUUUGCAAGUCAGAUGUGAAAUCCAAUGGCUCAACCAUUGAACUGCAUUUGAAACUGCUAGACUAGAGUAUGGGAGGGGGAGAUGGAAUUAGUGGUGUAGGGGUAAAAUCCGUAGAUAUCACUAGGAAUACCUAAAGCGAAGGCGAUCUCCUGGAACAUUACUGACGCUAAGGCGUGAAAGCGUGGGGAGCAAACAGG
rnacentral:rRNA from 1 species